rnacentral:rRNA from 1 species
GACGAACGCUGGCGGCGUGCUUAACACAUGCAAGUCGAACGGUGAAGGGAUCAGCUUGCUGGUUCUGGAUGAGUGGCGAACGGGUGAGUAACACGUGAGUAACCUGCCCCCUUCUUCUGGAUAACCGCAUGAAAGUGUGGCUAAUACGGGAUAUUCUGGGUCUGUCGCAUGAUGGGUCUGGGAAAGAUAUUGUUUCGGUGGGGGAUGGGCUCGCGGCCUAUCAGCUUGUUGGUGGGGUGAUGGCCUACCAAGGCGGUGACGGGUAGCCGGCCUGAGAGGGGGGGGGGGAGGGCAAACGGGGGAAAGAGACCCGGACAAGUCCGGGAGGGGGGGGGGGGGUGGGGAUGAUGACAGGGGGGGGGCGGGCGGUAGGACGCGGGGCGGGGGGAGGGGGGGUGGCGUUGGGUUUGUAACCUUUUUGGGCAAGGAAAGGAGGCCUGGUUUUUGUGGGUGGGUGGAGGGUAGGUAAAAAAAAAGCCCCGGCUAACUAGGGG